rnacentral:rRNA from 1 species
UACGAAGGGGGCUAGCGUUGUUCGGAAUUACUGGGCGUAAAGCGUGCGCAGGCGGCUUCUCAAGUCAGGGGUGAAAGCCCAGAGCUUAACUCUGGAAUUGCCUUUGAUACUGGAAGAUCUUGAGUUCGGGAGAGGUGAGUGGAACUGCGAGUGUAGAGGUGAAAUUCGUAGAUAUUCGCAAGAACACCAGUGGCGAAGGCGG